rnacentral:rRNA from 1 species
GCCUACGGGAGGCUGCAGUGGGGAAUAUUGCACAAUGGGCGCAAGCCUGAUGCAGCCAUGCCGCGUGUAUGAAGAAGGCCUUCGGGUUGUAAAGUACUUUCAGCGGGGAGGAAGGCGAUAAGGUUAAUAACCUUGUCGAUUGACGUUACCCGCAGAAGAAGCACCGGCUAACUCCGUGCCAGCAGCCGCGGUAAUACGGAGGGUGCAAGCGUUAAUCGGACUUACUGGGCGUAAAGCGCACGCAGGCGGUCUGUUAAGUCAGAUGUGAAAUCCCCGGGCUCAACCUGGGAACUGCAUUUGAAACUGGCAGGCUUGAGUCUUGUAGAGGGGGGUAGAAUUCCAGGUGUAGCGGUGAAAUGCGUAGAGAUCUGGAGGAAUACCGGUGGCGAAGGCGGCCCCCUGGACAAAGACUGACGCUCAGGUGCGAAAGCGUGGGGAGCAAACAGGAUUAGAUACCCCAGUAGUCC